UACGUAGGGGGCGAGCGUUGUCCGGAUUCAUUGGGCGUAAAGAGCUCGUAGGCGGCUUGGCAAGUCGGGUGUGAAAACUCCAGGCUCAACCUGGAGAUGCCACCCGAUACUGCUAUGGCUUGAGUUCGGUAGGGGACCACGGAAUUCCUGGUGUAGCGGUGAAAUGCGCAGAUAUCAGGAGGAACACCCGAUGGCGAAGGCAGGUCUCUGGCAUUAACUGACGCUGAGGAGCGAAAAAGCAUGGGGAGCGAACAGG
rnacentral:rRNA from 1 species